GCAAUAUUGUUUUGUCCGAACAAUACAGUAUGCCAAUGAAGUGGUACUUUUCCUUUUUUUUUUUUCGAGCUGCUAAUAACGACGACGACAUGUGGUAUAGCAAAUGUGAAACUCGGUGACUUAAUUUAGCUUUAGUUACUGGCCAAUAAAAUCGGGCGAUCUAAACAUUUGCUCCGCACUCGAACUAAACGUCUCCAUGUGGUCUCUUUCACAUAAACGUUGUCUCUUUCCGCUUUCUCAUGAUAGCACAUGUGAUGGAACUAUCGCUAGAAACGUAUUUGUAAACUGCUGUCGAGGGAAAUACAUGGCGCAAUCGUUGUUGACGACAGCACGUAUGUAGUAUGGACAGUCAAGCCGUUACGCGCAGUCCAUUCAGUAUCGUAUUUAGUCUUCCCCCGUGCACGAAGAGAUUUAAGAUGUUUUAGAACAAUCAUCGCUACUCUUAACUAUGCAAUGCCAACGAUCUUAUUGUGACCACAGAUUAUUUUGUAGUGAUUUUCGUAUUUCUACUACGAUGCGAAUGUUUCAGGAGUUCUACAUUUCUUCAAUGCGAUUAUGGAAAAACGCCAAUACAGUAGAAUAAUUCAGACGAAAAUGCUGCCCCAAUAUGAGAACGGCUUCUGGUUGGAAAUUGUGUGUCUACGAUAUAUAUGAAACCGUACCUAGUUCGAUUGAUGACACAGUCGAGUUUAUAACAUAUCCAGACGAACUAGUAUCGAUGUGGCUCGCUUUCAAAUUAAUACUGUCAUUAUUAUUAGCGUUCCACGAGUGCAUUUUUAGUGAAGGAUUAUAGCGCCUGCAAGAAGCUAUUAGCAUCAGGCUAGCGGCAUGGCGUCGGACAUGGCGUGAGACGAAGGUGGACUACGUCAACAUACGGAUUACGUGACCACCAACGCUGAAUUGGCCCAUCGACAAGACGUAAAAUUAAAAAUAUGUCUAACAUAAGACGACAAUCGAAGAUAUGAUCGAGCCACAGUAAUUAACUCAGGUACGUUUUAGUCUUAUUUUUAAAGGAAAAUGAGGUCGAAAGAGCCAAUCAUUUUAGAAUGGUCUGUCUGAAUAACAUUCGCAAACAGAAACUACGUCGAUCAAUCGUAUGCGGUACGUUUGUGGGUCAGUGCGCAGUUGUGGUCUGCAGUUUUAUCAUUGCAUCUAAUGUAUUUAUCCACGUUACAAAAGGGAAUCAUUUUGAUAGUUUAUUCCCAGAAAUUGAAUAUAUUCAAUUCUUGACCAUUUAUUGGAACAAUAUGGAUGUCAAGGUUUCUCUCGUUAUAACGUUACUAUUAUGGCAAGAGCUUAACUCGUAGCCUUGAGCAAGAAGUAGAAAUUUUUAGACAAGGCACACAUUACACAUUUAGAUGGUAAUGAAAACAGAUUAAUUUAUGUGUGACAGGAAAUGUUCUGAGAGAAAAAAUAUGACUUCUUAUUUCUGGAGUUUAAGCUAAUAUGUUUGCAGGACAGGCCUCGUAGCUGAGUUACCACGUAAGCCGACUGAGGCGCGAGAGUCCAAAAUAAUAUGACGCAGAAUCUUAGUCGCAUCUGAUCGACGAACAUCUAGAAGGCCAGUUCGAUUAAUCAAUGUUGUUCAUCUACCUUUAAUAACUGGGAGCAAAAAAAAUGUGGGCAAGGGCAAGCGAUACAGCUCUUAUAUGAUCAAGACAAUAAACACAAGUCCCGUCAAAUCAUUUCACCCACAUGCGAUAUACGACGAUUCUUAGGAAAAAAAAAGAGUUCUGAAGUAUUAUUGUACACCUAGGUCGUACCUGCUAUGAAGUACCGAGAAUCUAACGGCCAUCAACAGACCUAGCAAUAAUUAUGAUGUUUUCAAUAAAUCGGCGAAACCCAAAUACAGUUCACUCAAGUCUUGAAAUUAUUUUUUGAGAUUUGUAACGAGAUAGAUUCACCUGCAACCCAUCUAAAUGGCCAUAAAUAUUUGACGUAAGAUAGCUUAUGCUGCAUUUGUUUUGAAUGUGUAUUGACGUAAUAGUAAUAAUAAUAAAGGUUCGUUACCUAUGUCCACAGACCAACAAUACACGAAUAUAAUACAAGCAUAAACCUGCUUCUUUUUCAACUGUAAUUUUUAGUGUUUUUUUGCAAGAACAAAUUUGACAGGGACACAACUUCCCACGCCUGGCAAAUACUUGAUAACCCAUUGCUGCUAAUAUCUUUACGCAUUUACUUAGAGACAGCACAAUUUUGUAUCGAACACCGGUAACUCGUUCACGAAGGACCACUCCGUAUGGCAUGUUGGCGUUCUACCCUUCAAGAUUAUUAAACAUGACGGCCCGAACGCUUCUGCACUGCUUUAGGUUUUUUACGACACCUCAUUUUCGAAACUAGCUCGCUGCAACUGCUGUCUAUGAGCUUGUAUUAUUGCAUCUUUGUUCGAUGUAUAUUUCGCACAGUUCAAGCAUAGACGCCAGUCUGUCUUUUUUUUUUACCCAUCGUAUCUGGCUCUAUUUCUUUGCAGCAAUUUAAAUAUGAAAAACCGGGCUGUAUCCUUUACAAAGUGCUUACCACUGUUACG